UGUCACACUGACGCGAGAGAGAGAGGGAGGGAGGGAGAGGGAGGGAGAGAGAGAGAGGGAGAAGAGUCAUCGCCCUUUGAAAUCUGCUCUCUUCAUUUUUGUGGGAUUAAAUUUGUGUUUACUUUGCUUGAUUACCGGCAAAAAAAAGAGACUCCAGACGAGAGAAAAAAGAGAGAGAAGGGAUUCAUCGCCACAAAAACCUCAAAACUCAUUACCCGCAGCAUCGCCUGGGCGAGUUUCUCAGUUCUCGCGCAACCCGUUGGGUUCCGUUCACGGGCCAUCAGGUCGAGAGAAACUCAGUAUGCGCGACCUUUUUCUAGACCCGACGACCGGCGAACGCAACCCAAUCUGAACUUCUCCGUCCGGCGAAGACACCGCGGCGCACCGGUGUCGUUUGGUUUGUCCUCUCGCCGCGGUUCCUUUUCUAGCAUCGGUUGGUCCAUUCGCUGGGUGUAGAGAGAGAAUGGAAGACGACAAGUUUUGUGUUUCGCGACGAUUUUGCAGAGUUUUCCGGCGACUCCGGUCACCAUCAACGAUGCGUGAGGUAUGAAACUUCUUCUACUCUUCAAGCUGUACACGUUGAUAUACAUGGUUUUUGAUUUCGAUCAAGUUUGGAAGAGUUGCCAUUUUAGGUGAUUUCGGCCUCCGUCGAAAUCCACUGUGCGCGGUGGCAGUUUGGCUUUUCUGGGUUCAUUUCUCACCUUAACGCCUGUCUAUGAACAACUGUUGAUGCUAGAUUAUUUUUGAAUUGAAGAUAUUGUGAAAUUGGAAGUGAAUUCGAUCCAGAAGUGGGUCACCUGAGUUCGUGAGAACUUAAGGACAGUACGGCUGCUGUUUGAGGUUGAAAUUGAAUUAGAACUCUAUUGUGGAAUUGAAAGCUUGUAAUCAAGAUUUAGGGACUCCAGUUACCCAGAACGUAAAAGUGGUGGUGUUGGCCUAGAAAAGUGAUUGGAGUUAAAAACUGUGAUAUUCCAGGUAAGGGAUUCUGGACUUGCCUCAAUUAGUGUUUUUUAUGCAUGUAUUCUUACAGAAAUUAUUGAUGCAUGAGAAAUCUGUUUUUGAUUUUUUAUGAGUUAUUGUUUGAUGAAAUGAGAUUGAGAGAGCAUAGCAACUUCCUUGGGCUUUGAUCCUGUAAACCUCCGGAGGGGAUUUAUGGAGGAAAUAGUGUCUGAAAUCUGUUGAGGUGUGGCAGUACUUCUAAAUGAUAUGGCAUAAGUGGACUCUCGCUACAAUAUUAUUUUGGUAAGGUUGUAGUUGGCAUAGAGACCGGUCAUCAGGAUAUGGUUCGGCGCAGCCGAAUUCGCCUACAGUAAGGACUUAGUUUCUGGUUUGUUUUGGUUAGGUGGAGAUUUUGUACAAGAAUUUCCCAGAAAACGUUUUAUCAGAGUUUUGAGAGAGAUGAAUCUAUGGAAAUUGAUACUGUGGAAAUGGGAGGUGCUGAUUUUGGUUUCGAUUUGUGGGAGGCUGGUUUCGGGUUGGAUUAGGAUUAUGGUGUUCUUUGUGGAGAGGAACUCAUCCUAAGGAAGGGACUGUUAUAUUUUGUUUAUGGGAUCAGGAAGGCUGUUUAGAACUAUAUUUGGCUUGGCCUUAUUUGAUGGGUUGGCAUUUCGGGUUGAUCAAGAAGGGUGAGAAGGAAACAAAUGGUAGAAUCCAAACGAAGAAGAAGAACAAUUUGUACUGAGGUAUGAAGUAGAAGAAAAAAAAAUUUGAUAUUGCAGAGAGGGGGGAGAGAGGUUUGGAGAAGAUGAACAGUAAAAGGACAUAUUUACCCUCAAAAAUUGCCACG